GACGAACGCUGGCGGCGUGCUUAACACAUGCAAGUCGAACGGAAAGGCCCUGCUUUUGUGGGGUGCUCGAGUGGCGAACGGGUGAGUAACACGUGAGUAACCUGCCCUUGACUUUGGGAUAACUUCAGGAAACUGGGGCUAAUACCGGAUAGGAGCUCCUGCUGCAUGGUGGGGGUUGGAAAGUUUCGGCGGUUGGGGAUGGACUCGCGGCUUAUCAGCUUGUUGGUGGGGUAGUGGCUUACCAAGGCUUUGACGGGUAGCCGGCCUGAGAGGGUGACCGGCCACAUUGGGACUGAGAUACGGCCCAGACUCCUACGGGAGGCAGCAGUGGGGAAUAUUGCACAAUGGGCGGAAGCCUGAUGCAGCAACGCCGCGUGCGGGAUGACGGCCUUCGGGCUGUAAACCGCUUUAGCCUGUGACGAAGCGUGAGUGACGGUAAUGGGUAAAGAAGCACCGGCUAACUACGUG
rnacentral:rRNA from 1 species